UACGUAGGGUGCGAGCGUUAAUCGGAAUUACUGGGCGUAAAGCGUGCGCAGGCGGUGAUGUAAGACAGAUGUGAAAUCCCCGGGCUCAACCUGGGAACUGCAUUUGUGACUGCAUCGCUGGAGUGCGGCAGAGGGGGAUGGAAUUCCGCGUGUAGCAGUGAAAUGCGUAGAUAUGCGGAGGACACCGAUGGCGAAGGCAAUCCCCUGGGCCUGCACUGACGCUCAUGCACGAAAGCGUGGGGAGCAAACAGG
rnacentral:rRNA from 1 species